CCCUUAGAUGUUCUGGGCUGCACGCGCGCCACACUGACGUACGCAACGAGUGUCCUUUACCGAGAGGUAUGGGUAAUCAUUUGAGUGUACGUCGUGAUGGGGAUAGAAUAUUGUAAUUAUUACUCUUCAACGAGGAAUUCCUAGUAAGCGCAAGUCAGCAGCUUGCGCUGAUUACGUCCCUGCCCUUUGUACACACCGCCCGUCGCUCCUACCGAUGGGUGAUCCGGUGAAUGAUUCGGACUCGGUUGCCUCUAGCCACUAGUGGCGCUCGAGAAAGUUUUGUGAACCUUAUCACUUGGAGGAAGGAGAAGUCGUAACA
rnacentral:rRNA from 1 species